AGAGUGAACGCUGGCGGUAGGCCUAACACAUGCAAGUCGAACGGCAGCACAGGAGAGCUUGCUCUCUGGGUGGCGAGUGGCGGACGGGUGAGGAAUACAUCGGAAUCUACCUUUUCGUGGGGGAUAACGUAGGGAACUUACGCUAAUACCGCAUAAGACCUUCGGGUGAAAGCCGGGGACCUUCGGGCCUGGCGCGGAUAGAUGACGCCGAUGUCGGAUUAGUCGUUGGUUGGGACGGGUAAACGCCCACGAAGGCGACGACUCCGUAGCGUUGGUCUGGAGGAGGA
rnacentral:rRNA from 1 species